rnacentral:rRNA from 1 species
UACGAAGGGUGCAAGCGUUACUCGGAAUUACUGGGCGUAAAGCGUGCGUAGGCGGUUCGUUAAGUCUGUUGUGAAAUCCCCGGGCUCAACCUGGGAAUGGCAAUGGAUACUGGCGGGCUAGAGUGUGUCAGAGGAUGGUGGAAUUCCUGGUGUAGCGGUGAAAUGCGCAGAUAUCAGGAGGAACACCGGCGGCGAAGGCAGCUCGCUGGGACGUUACUGACACUGAGGCGCGAAAGCGUGGGGAGCAAACAGG